GUUUCCUUUUUCCUUGUUUCUUAGGUGCCGCGUCUCCCACUCUGCCACUCUUGCUCUCCUUUCUGUUUCGGCGUAUUGUCAUCUUCUCCAUCCACCACUCCUCGCCCUCCGUCGUAUCCUGCUAUGAUAUAAAAUCUCAAGUGUAGUUCUCGUCCUCACUUCUCAAUUCCGUUUCUGCACAAGUUGAGCUUUAGUCUUCACACCAUUCUUGCUCCACUACUGAGGGUUUGUUUUAUUGGGGUUCUGAUGCAGUUUAACCCAAGCUUUGAACUCGCUCUUAAGUAAGGAAGUUUCUUUAUCGGGGUUAUCUAGAAUGCUUCGCAAAGCGACCCUUGCAUCGGAGCCAGUCUCAUUAGGCUUGAUUGCUAUGGUUGCUCUGUUGAAGAAUGAAAUUUUGGAUUUUAAAGUGAUAGAAGGCAUGCGAGUUGAAGCAAGUGUUAAUUAUCAUGAAGUUCUUAUGAAGUUUUGGGGAGUAGAAAUACAGACUUGGCAAGCAAUCAAGCAAAGAUAUGGUUGAGGGAUGCAAAGACGGCUCCAGAGUUCUCUUCAUUGUCUAACGCAUCCCUUGUUGAUUGAGGACAUAGCAAUGUCAUGGAAAAGAUAUGUCAAAGAAGCAAUCUUUGAUUAUGCACGGAAGCUUGGUGGUGAAACCUUUAGAUCGAAAUAUGGAGGGUAGGAACAUGUUGAAGGAACUUAACAUGAACAUGCUCAUUAGUCACCAACAUGAACUUAUUAAUCUUUCAUACAGUGAUGAUAAAAGAAGUUGUUGUAAGUUAAUUAAGCAUAAGGCAGUAAAUGGAAUGUGCUUCUUUCUGUGUUCCUUUUAUCUUACUUAAAAGCUCAUGUUGGUUCGGUGUAGAGGAUGUUAGUACAUGGAAACCAUUUGUAAUGAUUGAUAAUCUUUCUAGCUAUAUUAAUAUUUUUGUGUUUAAA